rnacentral:rRNA from 1 species
AUGGAGAUUGCCCACCGGAACCGGGAGCCCUUCAGCAUCAUGUCCGGCCGGAAGCGCCCGCGCCCGCUGGAGAUCCUUCGCCAGCGGUUCCAGACUGAGCUCGUCGCGGUCCGUCGCCUCCUCGCCGAGGCGCACGCCGUGCUUCCCGCGUCGUCCCCGUCGGCUCCCCGCGUGCGCGUCCGCCAAGCCGAGGAGCCGCCAGCCAAGAAGAGGAAGGCGCCCCCUUCCGUCGUCCCCGUGAAGAAGAUGACGCCCAAGGAGAGGAACCAACUCUACGGGGACCUCACAACGCUAGCGAAGCAAUCUGAAUCUCAUGUGCUCCCUGCUCAUAUCUUGGAGCUGCUGAAGAAGCACAGCCGCCACGGCCUCUGCGACGAUUACAUCGAGAUCGAGAUGCACGCCGUCCAAGACUCGGCCCUCGUCGAGAUACAGAAGCAGCUGGACAAGUUCGUCCGAGAGAGCAAGAAUCCGUGGACGCAUCAUCAACACAAACAGAUGAUGGCCCAAGCAGAGGACGAAGACGUCGACAUCGUCGGCGGCGUCUCCCCUUUGCCGGUCAGGCCGACACCGGUGCAGCUCGUCGUCGAAGAGGACGAGUACGUGGACAUCUGCGGCGACGCCUCAUCGGUGAAGAAUCUUGGCCAAGGUGCAACCAUCAGCGGCAGCAGCGGUUCGGAUUCUGGUUCAUCUCACCAGAGUGUUGACAGUCGUCCAGCUCCGGCAGAGCGCGCCGCCAACACGCCUCCAACACGCGUCCUCAUCGCCCGUGCCAGCAAGAUUCUGGAAAGGCGGCGAAAGGAGGAGACGUCCCGGGCGAGGGAGAAGGCCCGUCAGGAGCUGCUGGAGACGGAGAGGACGGCAAUGCCGAAGGACACCCUAGACGAGGACGUGAAGGCGCUCGGCAUUGAUCAGUACAACACGGCCAGGCCGAACAACUUGUUGCGACAGAUGGGGCUCUUCCUCAAGCUUGACGACCACGACCUGAAGCAGCAGCAGCAGCAGCAGCAUCAAAGCUUCCAAGAAGAUUUAGAGGAAGGUGAGAUUCGGCUGUGA